rnacentral:sRNA from 1 species
CACAACGUUAUUUUUGCCGGAGAUGUG